CUUGGUGGUUUGUCGCAGGGGUCACACCUCUUCCCAUUCCGAACAGAGAAGUUAAGCCCUGUAGAACCGAUGAUACUCUUUUUAAGGGAAAAGUAGGUAGCUGCCAGGA
rnacentral:rRNA from 1 species